UACGUAGGGACCGAGCGUUGUCCGGAAUCAUUGGGCGUAAAGAGCGUGUAGGCGGGCUGUCAAGUCUGGGGUGAAAUGCCGCGGCUCAACCGUGGAACUGCCUUAGAUACUGACGGCCUCGAGGAAGGUAGGGGCAUGCGGAACUGUAGGUGGAGCGGUGAAAUGCGUUGAUAUCUACAGGAACUCCGGUGGCGAAAGCGGCGUGCUGGACCUUUUCUGACGCUGAGGCGCGAAAGCUAGGGGAGCAAACGGG
rnacentral:rRNA from 1 species